UACAGAGGGGGCAAGCGUUAUUCGGAAUUAUUGGGCGUAAAGGGCGCGUAGGCGGCCUGGCAAGUGGAAGGUGAAAUCCCUCGGCUUAACCGAGGAACUGCCCUCCAAACUGCUUGGCUUGAGUCCGGGAGAGGUGAGUGGAAUUCCCAGUGUAGCGGUGAAAUGCAUAGAUAUUGGGAGGAACACCAGUGGCGAAGGCGGCUCACUGGACCGGAACUGACGCUGAGGCGCGAAAGCGUGGGGAGCAAACGGG
rnacentral:rRNA from 1 species